CCCCAAAACUAUGUAGUCUUGGAUUAAAUUUCUCAAAAAAAAAAAAAAAAAUACAUCGGAAAUGAAGUUUAUCAAGCCCCCAAUCAAUUCUUCGUCUUUAGCUCUUCUGUGUUAGCUCGUAUCAACCAACAGGUGAGGUGAUCGUUGGGGAUUUGAGUUAACAUCCGAUUAUUUGAUCAUCCAACAGGUGCAUCAGGGUGAAUGUGAUGAUGGUGGACGGCCUAGAAGCUCGUAUAGCGAUGGGUAUGUAUAUGGGUAUUCAUAAUCCGACUACUCUUCGCUCAACUCCCUCUUUCAUGCGCACGAAGCUCCGAGCCAAACCUAGUGCUGCCCUUAUUGCUUCUUCUCGGACAGAAGGUCGAACAGUUGGUGGGCUGCUGUUGCAACCAAAGCAUGACCUAAACGAAGUAAAGGGAGAUGAUGAUACUGUUAAUAAUAUCAUCAUCAAGAAGAAGAAAAGGGUGUUCUUUUUGGAUGUAAACCCAAUCUGUUAUGAUGGUAGCACCCCGAGUUUACACUCUUUUGCUCACUGGAUUUUCCUUUUCUUCUCCGAAGUCAGCCUUACAGACCCUGUUAUUGUCGUAAGCACCACCUCUCCCCAUUACGUUUCUAUGCCAAAUUUUAAGCCCAACAGGCCAAUUGUUUUAUCUCAAUGAGAGUUUGGUCGUUUUAGAUAACUCAGUGAUUUAAGUCAAAAUCUUUGGAUUUUAAGGUAUCUGAAAGACUUUUUGGAAGCAAUCUUAUCAAAUAUAGCUCUUUUUUCUGGCAGAGAAGUAGAAGAAGUGCACUGGAAUCUUCAGUUGAUUGCUAAGCUGUUGUAGUAUUUUAUCCAUAUGUUUUAGUUGAUUUCAGCAAUAGUUUAUGCACCCUUAUGAAUAUUGAGCUCAUUUCAUUAUUAAUGGAAUCUCGCUAGGCUGCUGUAGUACUAUAUCCAUUCAACAAUCUCGCUAGGCUGCUGUAGUACUAUAUCCAUUCAACAAGUGUGAUCCACUCUCUAAUUUAAGACUUAGAUGCAUUUUGGGUGAUGAAGCAGAUGGUGUUCCUAGAAUUCAACAUCUGGUGCCUGGUUUUGGCAUGAAAACUGCCUUAAAACUUAUAAAGAAAAUUGUCCUGCUUCUGCAAUACCUGUGGUUUUUAAUGCUUUGAAAUUAUUUGUAUUGCAGGGAUGUUAACAUUAGGAUACAGGAAGAGUGGUUGCAUAAGAGACACAAACAGAACGAUUCAGAAAUUAUAUCAAGCUUCCUUGAUUUAUUGGGGGAAACUCGUUGUUCCAAAGCUCACUGGAUUCAUAUCUAGCCCUUGUGAAACUUUCUCUGUGUAGGCUCUUGGAGUCCCUGUUCACCAUGAUGUAUAUCAGAUUAGAGCAUCCCAUAUACCACCUAGAAAACUAGUUUAUUGACCCAUCAAGGAAUUAAAGCCAAGAUAGCCAUUAAAUGGGGAAAGCCUCAUUUCUUACUUUCUGUAUUAAGUUCAGUUGUUUUUUUUUUGUUUUUUUUUUCUGUUGAAGUCAAAAAGAAACUCAUGUGUAUAGCUAAUUGGAUUGACCGAAGGGUAAAUUGGUCAUUUAUUCAUAUUUUAGAUAGUUCAUUAGUUCAAUAAGGAAAUACCCCUGUAUAGUUUAUAGUUUACUUAAUUAAAUGACCAUUUAAUCAAAGGUUAAAACGGUUAUUACU